UACAGAGGUGGCAAGCGUUGUUCGGAAUUACUGGGCGUAAAGGGCGCGUAGGCGGUUCGUUAAGUCCUGUGUGAAAUCCCCCGGCUCAACUGGGGAACUGCACAGGAAACUAGCGGGCUUGAGUUCGGGAGGGGGAAGCGGAAUUCCGGGUGUAGCGGUGAAAUGCGUAGAUAUCUGGAGGAAUACCGGUGGCGAAGGCGGCAUCCUGGACCGGCAUUGACGCUGAUGAGCGAAAGCUAGGGGAGCAAACGGG
rnacentral:rRNA from 1 species